rnacentral:lncRNA from 1 species
GGAAAUUUAAAACUUUUUCAACAAUAUCAAAGUCUUUUAUAAACGAAGCAGAAGUCUAAUACACUUUGUCUCAAACCAUCUACAAUAUGAAUAUCUUUGGAACACAACCCAUACAAUAGUGUUCAAAACAUAAAAUGAAAGAACAUAAGAGAAAUGGUAGCCAAAUCCUCUAAUGCUAUGAGGACUCACCAAUCUUCAAGCCUUGCUCUACUAAGAUCCUAUCCCCGGGGAUGAGAGUCGAUAUUGUCGGACCCUACAUUUGAAUAAGAAAUGUAGGAAAGAGUUUGCAUUAGUACAAACAUAUGAUAGCUAACAUAAACAUCAACAUAAGCAUAAGAGAUAACAACAUAAGUAAUAAGCAUAAUCAAUGCACAUAAAUCAUCAUAACAUAGAAGGAAUACUUCUUGAAGUAACCUCAACUUAUCCUUAGUCAAGACUUGGGUCAUCCACCUCUAGUCAAGCAUAUUGUAACGACCCGAGAGCACCCCCUAGCCGUUACAUGCGUAUUCAACCUCUCGGAGGUCUUAUACAAUCCUUAGCAUUCAUUCAUUGCAUAGAUCAUAAAAAUCACUAAGAAUUUAAAACUUUUACUCAAUAAAACCAUAAGACUUCAAGAGUUAUCAACAUUUGAAAACAUCAAUACGCAAGCGGAACUACUAAGUCUCUUUAGCCAAUCUUAGACAAGAACUUAAAACAUACUAAGGGAUACGCCCCUUUACAAAUGAAAUGAAACUAAAGUGUCUAUUACAAUGACUAAGAAACUUCUAAACAUAGUCCUCGAAUCUUGAGGACAUACCAAAGACUUGGAAGAGUGAAGCAAUCCAAGCAACUCCAAAGCACAAUCCCCUCCUAGUUACCACAACCUACACUUGUAGUAAAAUAGAAGAAAGGGGUUAGUACAACACACGUACUAAGUAAGAGGAUAUGCAAAAACAUUCUAAAAAGGACACUUAUUUGGAAGUUAUGCUUUCAUGCCAUUUUGAUAAAAAUCUCAUGAACAUCAACAUAAUAGGCACCUUACAAGUCACAACCAACAAUACAAAGUCAUAUGCUUCACAAUACCUCACAAACAUACAUAACCCAUUUACCUUUCCCUUCUUGCCUUAGACCUCCACCUUAAGUAACCCUUAAGAAAUACCUUUGUGCAAUGUAUGGGCAACGUCCCAUACCAUAACCCACACUAAGGCACCACCUUAAGGUCACACAAAGUGCACUUACCAUGCAUACCUCAACCUUNNNNNNNNNNNNNNNNNNNNNNNNNNNNNNNNNNNNNNNNNNNNNNNNNNNNNNNNNNNNNNNNNNNNNNNNNNNNNNNNNNNNNNNNNNNNNNNNNNNNNNNNNNNNNNNNNNNNNNNNNNNNNNNNNNNNNNNNNNNNNNNNNNNNNNNNNNNNNNNNNNNNNNNNNNNNNNNNNNNNNNNNNNNNNNNNNNNNNNNNNNNNNNNUUCAUUAAUUAGCCCAAAGAGACUCAUUCCUUUCUUCUCAUUAAUACGACACACCAAGAUCUCCCUUAAAUGUCUACUUGUGCAAUGUCUAGAUGAUGUCCCAUUCCACCACCUAUCCUAAGUAGUACACGCUUAAGAGACCCUAGUUCAUUCAUUCAUUAGUGUGGGGGAAGAGCCUAAACCGACAUAGACCAUGGAGCUUUACAAGGAAUCUCGGUAAUACCCUUACCGGAUGAGGGAUCCCUACUUGCCUAAGGUAGGGUCAUUCUUUUAGCCUUUACGUGGUAGAGACCACUAGCUAGUCCUAUGUAGGCACAUAGUUAAGGAAUAGAAGGAUUGCUUCUAAGUACCCACAUCUCAACUAACGAAGGGGCACCCAUCUUAAGGGUUACUACUAAAUACUCACAUCUCUACUAACGAAGGAGUAUCCACCCAUCUUUAUAUCCUCUCGGUGCUAGACAUUACUCUCCCAUGGAGUUUGGACAUUUAUUUCAUUCAUUCAUAUAGGGAUAAGGAUUGCUACUAAGUACUCUUAUCUCAACUCACGAAGGAGUACCCAUCCUAGGACAACAUUCAUUCAUUUAGAAAUAAGGAUUGCUACUAAGUAUUCUCAUCUCAACUCACCAAGGAAUACCCAUCCUAACCCUCAUUCAUUCAUUAAAGAAGCUCUUGGAUUCAAAGAUGAGAAAACCUUUCAUCUAGGAACCCCAUUCAUUUAAAAGGCGUACUUUAUGAGACUAUCCUUACAAUAGACCCAACUUUCAUUCAUUAGCAUUAACUCCUAUUCUUUUCAUUCAUUCCUCACAUUCUUUCAUUCAUUCUUAACUAGGUGUGAGAAGAGGUAAACAUAGUAUACCUUAACCUCACCUUCAUUAUAAGUCAUUCAAAGAAGACAACAACCAAGUAUAACACAUAAGGUCUCUAUACAAGGUCACCUUUCACGAUCUUAGACCAUACACAAUUUCACAUCAUAUCACAUUACCUUCACAUAAUCAACAUUACUCAAAACAACAAUCACCCAACUUUGCCUACAAGGCCAUGAUCACAACAUGCUUAUAAAGUAAACACCUCCCCACUUUCAAAGGGAUCAAACCUCACAAUUCUAACAUCUAAAACAUAUAUAUAUAUAAAAUAAUAUAAUCAGUAAUAUAUUGAGAACUUCAUCAUCAUCAUAAACCUUAGGUCACAAUUGCCCAUUCAAGGCCAACANNNNNNNNNNNNNNNNNNNNNNNNNNNNNNNNNNNNNNNNNNNNNNNNNNNNNNNNNNNNNNNNNNNNNNNNNNNNNNNNNNAACAAUACAUAAAUCAAUAGCCCAUAACAAUCUACACAUUAAUAUCACAUUAUUAGCUCAUAAUCAAUAGACCCACUUUAGACCCAAAAUUAGGGUUUCAAGAUAUGCAAGGGUUCAUGGAGUUUUUGACCUUAAAACCAUCAAUAUUAACAUAAAACAUCAUUUGAAAUACUUUUAUGCAAGAACCCAAGCUUAGAAUUGAAAUUGGGGUUUUCAGUGCUUUUGAAAAACAUUGAAAUUACUUUGAUUUGGCUCUUUGAUUGAAAGGAGAAUCAAAGAUAAAAUCCCCAUACCUUUAUGAUUAAUUUCCUAGGAAUUUGAAGAGAAAUCAGUAGGAACCCAUCCCCAAGCUUGAAGCUUCAAAGAUGUCUUCCAUGGAAUUCUAGAGAGAAAGCUUAUUUGAGAGGGAAGGUUCCAUUGGAAUAAUGAGGUCCAACUCUAGGUUUUGGGGUUUUAUCCACUUAAAAUACCCUAAAAUAGGUAGAAUAAUCAUUUAUAAUAAUUCCUCAAAGUAUCCAAACUACCCCUCACUUAGUUGGACCUUGUUAAACAAGUCAAACUUGAGUUUUAUUUUUGCAGAUUUUGUCGGAAAACAAGUCCGCGAAGCGGGGGUGUUCCCGCAAGUUUCUAAAAUUAAAUUUCAAUACAGAGGAGUCCGCGGUGUCUCCACGAUGUGGAGCCACCUUUUGGCCAUUGGUGGAGCAGGUCCCCGAUGCGGAGCCACUCCCUCUAAGAACAACUACAAGCUGUCUUGGCAGCUUGCUUGGCCAAAGGUUGGAGUCCUCCUCGGGGACCCUUAGGGUGGUCCCGGGGUGUCGUACCCAAACGUUUUGACCCUAAAUACAUUUAUUAAGACAAUAGGAUCACCUCCACUGAUUUUAGACUCCAAAUAACACAUAAAAACAUGUACAACAUACUAGAACACACCAACACGUAAAAGACUAGUUUCCGAAUGUAUUGGUCAUCCCUUGACGUUUGACUUCCAAACACUCUAAAACUGACUAAAAAGGCUAUUAUUCAUUAUUUUAACAAGUUAUUAAUGCAUAAAACCCAUGUGAGGCUCUACUUUGUCCUACUUCAGUUUGAGGGGCGUUACACAUAUCAUGGAAGGCAACUCAAGCAACAAUCCAAGCUCAUCAUACAUCAUAAUAUAGUCUAUCUUAACUUUUAUAGACAUGGGGAAUCGCCUCUUGCCUUACUUUAAAGAAACAUGGGUAGUCACCUCUAGUCUUUCUUUACAUAUGGAUCAUGGGUACUCGCCUCUAGUCCAACUUAACAUAUGUAUCAUGGCUAUUCGCCUCUUGUCCAACAACAUGUGACAUGGGUAUUUGCCUCUUGUCAUUCUAUAAGGAUCAUGGGUACUCCCCUCUUGUCCAAUCAUAUCUUAAGAACAUGGGGAGUCACCUCUUGUUCAACUUUAAAUAAUAAGGGUAAUUUCCUUUUUAUCCUACUUCAUGGAAUAUGGGUAAUCGCCUUAUAUCCAUCUCAUUUGGAGGUCAUGGGUAAUCGCCUCUAGCCUCAUCAAUAUCUUAGUCAUUAGCGUAGAUUCAUUUUAGGGGAGAAAUCCUUUCAACCUAGAAUAAUUCAAUGUGAGCAAACCUUUCACAUGCAUAAUUAUAAGCAAUUCAUGUGGGAAUUAUCCCUUCCAUAACAAUUACACCAAUAGUCAACAAUUGACAACAUAAGCUUUACUCUCAAAGCACUAUAUCUCAUAGUCAUUCUAUAUGCUCAAUCUCAAGACAAUUCAACAUCAUAAUCAUCUCAUGAGCUUCAAUCUCAAAGCAAUCUAAUCAUGAUUCAUCAUAUAAGCUUCAAUUCUAAUGUAUCUCAUCAAUCCUAGAUUGAAUACAUCUAAACCCACAAAUUCUCCUUUCAUGGCAUAAACCCUAUUUACAUCAAUUUCAUUUUCUAGACAUAGGUUAGGCAUGGGUACAUGUAAUUUCAUCCUAAAAACAUGUAAUUCUAUCAAUCCAAUCAUAAGCAAUCAUAAUCCACUCAAUUGGAUUAUCAUUCAUCAAUACCCACAACAUUGGAAGAAACCCUAACUCAAAUUGGGAAUUUCAUCUUCUCAAUUGGGGAACCAUAGGGACUCCAUGGAUAGAAGGAAUCCAUGGAUGAAAAUCCAUUAUACCUUGAUUACAAAUCCCACAAAUGCUUGAGGAAUGGAGACUUGAACUUGACCCUAGCUUCAACUCUUCCUUCUUCUUCAACUUUCUAGAGAGAGAAUUAUUUUGGAGAGGAACCCAAUUCAUUUGGUGAGUUCGAUAGAAUGAUUUUAAUGAGAGAAUUUAGGGGUUAAAAUAACUUAUAUAGGGGUCCUAGACUUAGGUAAAAUUACCUCACUUUGAUUUAAUUAAUACCGGAAAGACCCAUGUGCCCUUAACUAGACCUGCCAGUCCACGACCCACGAGACCUCACUAACGGACCGUGGACUAACCAAUGGUCUAUCCUACACAUUCGUUGGUGGUGAUCAGAGGCUUUUUCCUAGAGCUACAGCCACUGUACCAUAAGCAAGGACCCAUCGACGGCUCAUGGAUCCAGCCAUGGUUCAUGGCCUAGACAGGCUCCUUCGUGACCCUUUCCACGGACCCACCUACGGGCCGUGGUUCGCCCUCAUGGAUGGAACCUAUAACACUUGAAAUUUUUCUAGGUUUCCCUCUUUCGAAUUCGGGGUAUUACAGGAACUUUUCCUAGUGAUACCAUCCCAAAGCCCAAGAAUGAUUUAUGAAGUUUGAGGACUAUGUCAUGCCACAAUAUUAAAUAAGGUGCUUCUUCGAAGGCAACCUAAUUCUUUACUUUUGUUCUUACUACUUUUGAAUAACGUGCGUUGUGAGAGCAGGUGAAAAAAAGGUUGAAAAAUCGAUAAGGGUAGACUCAGUGAGGCCACUACCUAAAGGGAAAUGCAUAAAAAGUACUAGGAAGACUAAUUCUUUUCUGCCCUUUGAGGAAGAAAAGUUGGAAAAGUGCACUGUCAAGAUCGGCGAUCAGAACUCUAAAGGGAGAUUCACCGAGUGUAUUAUGCGAACUUCAUCGAGUUCGCCAAAUCAACCUUCAUGUUUGGUAAUUGUUCAGGCAGGUUCAGCAAGCUUAAACUCUAGAUGGCAAUACGCCGAACCCGUUUAGCAAUGUUAGUGAGUGCACCGAACGGGCCGGGUAUAAAAAGGCCUAUGGUAAUUUUUAAUUCAAAAAUCAACACCAUUUGAAUCCUUAAAGCCUUUUCAUUUCCCCUCUCUUGCAUUGUGUAUUUUGAGUAAUUUUGUUCCUUGUGUGAGCAUAUUGGAAGCUCUAGGAGUGCAUUUGAUCAGACCUCAAGUCAACCCAAUUCCAAUUCCUUAAUUUCUUGUUUGUUUUUCGGCACUGAGGUUUGUGUUUCGACUUCUUGUUGAUAAAUUUGAGUUUAAAUUGUAUAUACGGUGUGGUCUUGAGCCUUUUAACUAGAUUAAUUGUUUAAAUUUGUUUCGUAGCAUAAUAUUGUUGAAAUUGAACCGUACCCAUGUUAUUUUGAUUGUGAAUGCCUUUCUAAAUGGUGAAUCAUGAUUGUGUUGGUUAGAAUGUUAAAUUGAGUCGAUAUACUUGUUGGGUCUGUGUUUAAUUGAAUGUGAGUGAAGUUUAAGUAGCUCAGUGUUGACCCAUUACAUGAUUUUUCUCAAUGAUAGACAGGGUGACUACAUUCUUAAUAAAUUGGUGGAAAUUUGAGUACCCAUGGGUUGAAAAACAUAUAGGUGGAUUGUAAUUGUUGGGGGAAACUCGUAUUUGUUGUGCAUGUUUGAUUUGGAUAUGAAAUUUAGGCACUGGGUUGAAAAUUCCUAUUUGGCAAGCUUGUCUUAGCUCGCCAAGGAAGAUGGGUGAAUCGUCGAGUAAGACCUAACUCUUUUUCUUGAGCUUGUGCAUGGCCUUUGGUACUGUCCCAUUCAGCGGGUUUGUCUUAGUCCGCCGAACUCAUUUGGUGAAUCGCCUAGUGGGAGAGUAUAUUGCCUUUAUGCCUAUGUUUGUCCCAUUUGCUUUGUUAGUUUCGGUGGACUUGUCUUUGCCCGUCGAAACCAACUCGAUGAAUCGUUGAGUUGGCAUUGACUCACCGGAGCUCACCGAUCCUGUUGAGCAAUACGCAUUCCCAUUAGGCGAGCCUCAAGACUGUCUUCAAGCUUGAUUCAAAGUGCUUUAGAUUUCAAUUAACAUUCACAAAUCUUAUGUUGUAAUGUGUGCCUUGAAGGUAAUGGUGAGACGAAACAGUAAAAAUGUGGUCUUGUUUGACACUGAGUGAGGCAGGGAGUCUACUCCACAUCUUCAUCCUCAGGAGAAACAAAAGGGCCUCUCAAUCAAUGAGUCGUCUGAGGCCUAAAAUACUCAAAAUACCAACCCUCAGACACCUAUAAGUGUGGUUAAAAAGGAGAGAAAGCAUAUAUUGCCAUGAAAUAGGUGAAUAUCCACUCAAAGUUAGUGUCAAUGGCAGAAGACCCCAACCCUGCUUCACGUGUUAUCCCGAUUAUAGAUCUAAGAGCUUUGAAUAGGCUCAACAUGGAUGGGGAACACACAAUUCUAGAGGAGCACUGACUUUCCAUUGAUGGGGUUAUGAUUAAGUACCCCACAAUAUAGAGGGUAAUCAAAUUCCACAAACUGGAACAGUUCACAAAGGUCAGGAAACCAUACAUACCGAAUUGGGUAUGAGAGUUCUAUGAUGCCUAUGCAAGGGCAUUGGUGAAAGAGAGGAAAGGGAUUGUCUAGAAGACACUAGAUGAAGAAGAGGUCUGAGGUUAAAUUGUGUAGUGUCAUAGCACUGUGAUUAAUGAAGUACUGGGCACCCUAGACAAUCUAACUGGCAAAUUUAAGACCAAGAUGGCCACACCUUUGGAUUAGUUGAAAGAGUGGUUGGCCCCUCUAAUACCCGAUGAGUCUGCACCAUCUUGGUUGGAUGAGGUCCCAAGAUUGAAAAGGACUUGGGAAAAGUGGCGAGGUACUGGUUUGGCUUUAUCGGUAGCAACAUGAUGCCAUCCAAAAAUGAGUCUAUACUCAGGCAUUCAAAGGUCAUGUUAGUGGGUUCCAUCAUUGAGAGAGAGAAAAAUAAUGUGGGACAGAUAAUCAUGGGAGAUAUAUUUCUGUGAGACAGAUAGGAGUAGACCUCUCUUCCCUUUCCGGUGCUCAUUACCUAGCUUUGUGAGAAAGCUGGAGUCCCCUUUAGAGUAAAAAUUGAUGUCAAGAUCAUGUCGAUCUCAUCUAGUGAUAUUCAGAGGAUCCAGGUUGAGUUCUUAAAAGAUGAUACAGCUCAAAAGACACCACCACCAAACUCCUCUCUAGUGGUAUACCCUGCCACAUUGACAGUUGAGGACAAUGCAUCUUUUCCUUUUGAGGAACAGGUAGGUAUUCAUAUUCCUUCGUUUGAUGCUAGUUUAUCUGAUUCCACUACUACAUCUACACCUUCUUCUUCUGUAUCCAGUGCUAGUGUAAGGCCUCCCUCUUGUCCUGUGGCCUGUCCUACUUUGACCCAGACACUUAUAUACUAGAUAUGUAUUGUUGCCCAGUCAGUAGAUGUUCGAGCUGCCCGGGUUGAGAAGAACUUUCCCAACCUCAUUGAUCAAGAAAUUUAGAAUGCCUUGGCUUCUUUGACUGAGCGGGUGGUCAAGUGUGAGAAAAUAGCCCGGGUCCACACUGUGAGAUUAAAUGAGUUUACUGCGACGAUAGCACUAUUGGAGAAAACUGAGGGUAGCACAAGUGGAUUGGACACCCUUAUGGCUGAGGUUGCCAAGUUAAAGGCUGAGGUGGUCCAGAUUCAGUCUGUGGACAUAUCGACACUUUGGGGCGAGGUUCCCUUUUCAGAUGUUGCUGCUCCCACACCUGUGAUGCCUAGUGUUGCACCUUCCUCUUCUGUACGUGAGGUCAUUAUAGAUGAGGAUGAUGACGAUGAGGAGUUGGCUGAGGAGACCAAUGGGGAGGUGUUGAGAGAGGAUGAGAAUGGGUUUGUUGAGACCCUAAGAGUGCGACACGAGACCGAGGAGGUCAUCAUUUAGGCUACCCUAGAGAGCUCUCUCAAAGAGACUUUAGUUGUUGGGCCCAGUGGAUUCACUCCAGACUCCCCCACACUCUUAUUGUUGAGAGGGGCACUGAUGCCCAAUCCAAGCCGUCCUUGCCACCUCUCGUGCUCCUAUUGCGAGACAAAGAUGCUCACUUGUUGCUUCUUCACCGGAAACUCCAAAUGAAAGGACUUCAUAGACGUAGCCUGUCAGGGCGAUCAUAUAUCUUAGCCUCCCCAUAUUACAUUUAUUUUACAUUGAGGACACUGAUUUAUUUUUUUUGUGGGGUGAGGCCUUCAUGCCAAUAUUCCAUUUUUGCUUGUAUUUUGUUCGUUUAAUAUUUUGAACUUUUGUAGUUAAUGUUUUUUUUAUAUUAGAGUGCUUCUGUUUUGAGAAAAUGUAUCUCUUUACUUCAAUAUUUAUUCUCUCUUGAUGAAUUCAACCCCCCAUGUGUCUGAAUAGUGAAAUGAUUUAUGUUUUCAUUUAUAAAAAUUUGAGAAUACAUUUUGUUCAAUAUCGAUGUCUUAAAUAGUACUCAUGGUGAAUACAUGAUGUGUACAGUCGAUGUUGCGAAAGCGAAAUUGAUGUGGUUACACCUUUUGAGUAAAAUCUUUGAUUCUUGUGUUGACUACAUGUGUUUGGAUGUGAACCUUGCAAUGAACAUCGCAUGUACGUUUUUUUAACUUUUUGAGAUAUUCUAGACAAGUGUAUUUCAAAGAUUUUAUGUGUGGUGAGUUUUACUUGAAAGCAUGCAUGUGGAAUCCUAUAAUUUGCCUUAUUAGUCUAAUUUGAUGAAUCUUGGUGAAUGUGAGACAUAAUCUUGGGCUAAAAUUGUAAUACCUCGAAUUCGAGAAAGGUUAGAGAAGGAGUUAAGGGGGAACUCACAAGCCAAAACCGGCCCAUGGGACUUGCAUGGAGCCCCACACGGGCUGUGAAGGGAACCACGAUCUGUUUAAGGGUUCGUGGUAAGCUCCCCUAAGACCUGCCUCGCAAGGAUCCCUCGCACGGAGACCUUAACAGCUUGUGGAGAGGGAGACAACUUGUGAAAGAGCUCGUGGGAGCUUGGCAGUGGUUUCCAUGGCCAGCAUCCCUCCCAAGGAGUCCUUGACGGCCUGUGGUGAGGAUGACGGGCCGUGGUGGUCGUCGUCAAAGUGCCCCACCAGCAGGGGCCUCUUCCCAAGCCACUGAUCCAAGGACCACGACUGCAUAAACGGCUCGUGGUUCCUUAGAUGGCUCGUGAACGCCACCAUUUGGGGGUUGCGUCAGCGGUAAGUCAGGGGCUUUUGGGUCUUUUCCUAAUUAUUCUAUCCUAAUACUAUGUCGGUUUGCCCUUACCUAUAAGUCCUAUAUAAGUGUUUUAAACCCCAUAUUUCCCCAAUUGAAAUCAUUCUCUCAAAUUCCAAAAAUAAAAACAAGUCUUCCUCUCAAAAUAUUGCUCACUCUAGAAAGCUGAAGAAGAAGGGAUCAACCUAGGAUUUCAAGUCAAGUCUCCAGCUCCACCAUUGAAGGCAAGAUUUUGGCAUUGAGGUAUGAUAGUUUUCAUCGAUGGUGCCCUUUACUUCAUGGAGUUCCCAAAUUCUCUAAUUCACAAAGAUAGAUUCCCCAAUUUAGUUAGGGUUUUCUUCCAUGUCAGGGGUUCCUCUAAAUAUUGACUUAAUUGAUUGUUUUAUGAUCUAUCAAGUAUGAAUUGAUAUAAUUACAUGAUUUUAUGAUGAAUUCCCAUGAACCCAUGUCUAACCCAUGUUUUCUAGAUAUUGAUGAUUGAAAGUGGGUUCUGAACUAUGAAAGGUGAAUUAUGGAAUUAUGCAUGUUCUUAUGAAAUUAUUGUAAAUGUUUUAAGGAUAUUUUGAGAGUAAAGUAUAAAUGAUGUUGUUUUUGUUGUGUUGUUGAAAGGAUUUCUCACAUAAACAUGAAAGCAUGAUUAUGAAAGGAUAAUAUUGAAUAAGAAGGGUUCUUAAGUUUGAAAGGCUUUCUCACCUAAAAUGAACCUAUGUUAAGGAGUUAUUCUAAUGUUGAGGCAAGAGGCGAUUACCCAUGCUCUAUAUUGAAAGACAAGAGGAGAUUACCCGGGUAACAUGAUGCAAGGAAAAGAGGCGAUUAUCCAUGUUCCUUUAAAAGAUAAGAUGAACAUAAUCAAGAACUAUUCCAUGGAAGUUAAUCUUAGAAUCGAGAGGAAAAGUGGUGAUUACCCUUGUCCCAUAAACUAUGUGCCAAUAUAGGAUUGUCUAGCUAGACAUUAGUUAGUGGAUCCACAUAAGCUAGAAGUUCAUGAACCUUACCUUGGAAAGUAGGACAACUCUUUUAGGUGUGGGAGACAUCGGAUUCCAUGUUAAUCGCUCACAUGGUCUUAUAUGUCGGUUAAAGCUAUUUCCCACAAGAAAUCAAUGAUGAAUUAAGGUUACUUCAAGGAAGUAUCUCAUACAUGUUUAAGAUGAUGACUAUAUGCGUUGACCAUGUUUUAUGACUCAUGUUUUCUAACUCUUUAUCUCAUGUUUAAGCUUUGUCAUUGCAUCUCAUGAAGGUAUCUAUUUUAAGUGUGUUUUAAAAUGUUUUAUGCAUGGCUAACAUACUUGGUACAUAAUUUGUACUAACGCAUACUCUUGCCUACAUUUUUUGAAAAUGUAGGGUCCAGCCUUACAUAUUCACACUUCCAUGGCUAGGGAUCACAUCUAGAAUAUUGAAGUGUUGGUGAGUCCUCAUAUUCCAAGGACCGAGCUUGGUUUCCCUUUUUGUCUUUACUUUCAGUUUUGAAAACUUGAUGUGCGGGUUGCGCCCCGAUAAACUCUUAGGUACUAGAUGGAUUUUGGGUCGAUGUUUAGAUUUUUUAACUUUUCUCUAUGAAACUCUUAUAUGUUGAAACUAUAUUUUAAUCUCUUGAUUUCUAUUAUCUUGUCUAAGUAUGAUAAGUAGCUUGUAUGGGGGCCUCUCAGGGUCCUAUACGCGAUGUUACGCCUAGGGGCUACCUUGGGUCGUGACAAACUUGUUAAUUAGGGCACAAGGUUUAGAAAGGUCCUAGGAAGUCUCAUAAGCCACUCUGAGUAGAAUCUUGUUCAUGAGUGUGAAUUGCGCCACACUUAUGAAUGAGAGGCUAUAAGAUGUUUAGGAAACUCCACUUCUUUCAUAACUCUUAAGUCAUGCAAUAGUUUUACUCUAUAAUAUCUCUUUCCUAAUCCUUAUCCAAUCCUCUACAGGAUAUGGCAACUCGAAGGGCAUAUGCUAGGAGGAAUGCGGGAGAGAAUGUGAAUCAAGAGGCUCCUCCUCAAACUUCUCCAGUUCUGGUCGAUCCUUUGGCUGAGCAAGUGACUAAUGCGGACUUUAGGGUUGCUUUUCAAGUAUUAGCUCAAGCCAUGAUGGCCCAAGACAAUGGGGAGGUUGCGGUCCCCAUGAACCCAAAUGUGGGCAUGACUCCAUCUAGAGUGAGAGACUUCACUAGAAUGAAUCCUCUAGAGUUUCAUGGUUCUUAAGUUGAGGAAGAUCCUCAAGAGUUCAAUGAUAAGGUUUACAAGGUUUUGAUGAUCAUGGGAAUGACGCCGGUACAAAAGUCGAAAUUGGCCGCUUAUCAACUUAAUGGUGUUGUCUAAAUAUGGUUCAACAAAUGGAAAGAAGGGAGAACAGUUGAUGUGGGUCUUCUUGAUUGGGAAAGUUCAAAGUCGCUUUCCUUGAUAGGUUAUUUCCUCUUGAGAUGAGGGAAGCAAGGGUUCUUGAAUUCAUCAACCUUCGUCAAGGAAAUAUGAGUGUGAAGGAAUAUGUCAUGAAGUUCACACAAUUGUCUAGGUAUGCUCCUACUAUGAUUGCCGACCAUAGCGCAAGGAUGAGUAAGUUUGUUGUGGGUGUGUCUAAGAUGGUGGUUAAGUAAUGUAGUACCGAAACGCUUGUCAAUGAUAUGGAUAUCUCUCUUCUCAUGGUUCAUGCUCAACAAAUCGAAUAUGAGAAAUUUAAGGAAAAGUCUAGGGAGGCAAAUAUGGCAAUGAUCGGUGAUGGUAACUUUUCACAUUCAAGAUUCGAUGGACAUGGUCGUUCUAAAUUUAGACAAAGCUUUUUCGGUCAAGGUUCCUCCAAUGCUCCUUCCAUGUUCAAAAAAGAUAGGGUGUCUAACCCUAAGCCUCAAGGAGGAAAUAGUGGUGGAUCUUCAUUGCCUACUUGUGCUAAGUGUGGAAGGAAGCAUGAGGGUAGAUGUCUCACGGGUUCCAAUGCUUGCUUUGGUUGUGGUAAGAUGGAUCACAAGAUAAGAGAUCGUCCCUUUAUUGCUACGAAUAAGGAAGAUAACCGUCAAAGGGCUCAACCCAAUCCUUCAUCUAGUCCUAGUGGAAGUCAAAAGCAAAAUACAUUUUAUGCACUUCAAAAUUGUGGUGAAUAAGAGAGUUCUCAUGAUAUGGUUGUCAGUAUGUUGAAAGUUUUCCAACUUGACGUUUAUGCUUUACUUGACCCCGAUGCUACCUUGUCUUUAGUGACACCAUAUAUGUAUAUGAGGUUUGAUACCCUUUCGGAUGUGUUGUUAGAUCCUUUUUUUGUCUCUACUCUUGUUGGUGAUUCUGUUGUGGCUAAAAGAGUUAAUAGGAAGUGUCCCAUCUCCUUCCACCAUAGAGUCACUCUUGUUGACCUCGUAGAGCUUGAUAUACUAGAUUUUGAUAUUAUUCUAGGUAUGGAUUGGUUGCAUGCAUGUUACGCUUCUAUUGAUUGUAGAACCCGUGUAGUCAAGUUUUAGUUUCCAAAUGAAUCUAUCCUAGAGUGGAAAGGGGGAAAUUCUAUGCCUAAGGGUCAGUUCAUUUCUUUUGUUAAAGCUAGAAAGAUGAUUUCGAAGGGUUGCAUUUACCAUCUAGUUAGGGUGAGGGAUAUAGAUUCUGAGACCCCUACUCUUCAGUCGGUCCCCGUUGUUAAUGAAUUUCUGGAAGUGUUUCCAGAUUAUCUACCCGGUAUUCCUCCCAAAAGGGAAAUAGACUUCAGCAUUUACCUUCUCCCAGAUACGCAAACUAUCUUUAUUCCUCCUUAUCAUAUGGCCCCAUCAGAACAUAAGGAAUGAAAGGAGUAGUUGAAAGAGUUGUUGGAUAAGGGUGUCAUCCGACCGAGUAUCUCUCCAUGGGGUGCUCCAGUUUUGUUUGUUAGAAAUAAAGAUGGUUCGCUCUAUAUGUAUAUGACUACCGGUAAUUGAAUAAGGUUACCAUUAAUAAUAAGUACCCCCUCCGUAGGAUAGAUGAUUUGUAUGACCAACUUCAAGGAGAAAGCAACUUUUCUAAGAUUGACCUUCGGUCGGGUUAUCACCAUUUGAGGGUGAAGGAAGAUGACAUUCCGAAGACGGCCUUUCAAACUCAGUAUGGUCAUUAUGAGUUUUUAGUGAUGUCGUUUGGUUUGACUAAUGCUCUGGCGGAAUUUAUGGAUUUGAUGAAUAGGUUGUUUAGACAAUACCUUGACAUAUUUGUCAUUGUGUUCAUUGAUGAUAUAUUGGUCUAUUCGAGGAGUGAAGAUGAGCAUACCGAUCAUUUGAGGAUUGUGAUGCAAGUCCUCAAGGACCAAUGACUCUUUGCAAAGUUUAGUAAAUGUGAGUUUUGGCUAAGGUCCAUGGCUUUUCUUGGGCAUAUUGUUUCCGGUAAGUGUAUUGAGGUAGAUCCGAAAAAUACAGAUGUAUCAAGAGUUGGCCUAAGCCUCUAACCCUUUUAAAUAUUAGGAGUUUCUUGGGUCUAGCCAGUUACUAUAGAAGGUUUGUUGAAGGGUUUUCUUUGAUUGCUUCUCCUUUGACGACAUUGACUCAAAAUAAGGUUACGUUCAUAUUGUCAAAAGCGUGUGAAAAGAGUUUUAAAGAAUUAAAGGAUAGACUUACUUCCGAUUUGGUGUUGACUUUAUCGGAAGGGACAGAUGGUUUUGUCGUUUAUUGUGAUGCCUCGAGAGCUGGGGAAGGAUGUGUCCUGAUGCAAAAUGGGAAAGUCAUUGCAUAUGCUUCAAGGCUGCUUAAGAUUCAUGAAAAGAAUUAUCCGACCCAUGACCUUGAACUAGUGGCACUUGUGUUUGCCUUAAAGAUUUGGAGGCAUUAUUUGUAUGGUGUUCAUGUGGAUGUCUUUACCGGCCACAAGAGUUUGCAAUAUGUGUUUAACUAGAAGGAUCUAAAUCUUCGUCAAUAGAGAUGGCUUGAAUUGUUGAAAGACUAAGACGUGAGUUUUCUCUAUCACCCUGAUAAGGCGCAUGUGGUGGAGGAUGCUCUUAGUCGAUUAUAGAUGGGUAGUGUUGCUCACAUUUAAGAUAAUCAGAAAGAGUUGGUUCGUGAUGGUCAUAGAUUGGCCCGAUUGGGUGUUCGGUCAAUUGACUCUACUAAGGGUGGUGUUGUGGCUGAUGUGAAGGCCAAGCAAGGUCUUGAUCAAACUUUGGUUGAAUUAAAGAAAGUAGUGCUUAAAAUGUCUGUGGAAGCUUUCUCCCAAGGGAGAGAUGGUAUACUUCGAUAUCAAGGUCGUUUGUGUGUUCCUAAUGUAGAUGACUUGAGAGAACAGAUCUUGUUAGAAGCCCAAGUUUAUCCAUACUCCAUUCACCCGGGAGCCACCAAGAUAUAUCGUGACUUGUGGGAGGUCUAUCGGUGGAAUGGGAUGAAGAAGGAUAUUGUCAACAAGUGAAAGUUGAGCAUCAACAUUCGAGAGGUUUAUCCCAAGAUAUUAGCAUUCCUACUUGGAAGUGGGAAGAUUUGAACAAGCACUUCAUUGUGGGUUUGUCUCUCAUCCAACGACAACAUGACUCAAUUUGGAUUAUUGUAAAUCGGAUGACGAAAUUAGCUCAUUUCAUUCCUGUCAAGGUUUAUUAUUUGGCGCAGGUCUAUGCCAAGUUGUAUUUGAAGUAAAUGGUGAGGUUUCAUGGAGUUCCCUUAUCCAUUAUCUCCGAUCGUUGUACCCAAUUCACUUCCCAGUUUUGGAAAUCUUUCCAGAAGGGUCUUGGUACUCGUUUUAAGCUUAGUACAACCUUUCACCCACAAACUGAUGGGCAAGCAGAACGUACUAUCCAAACUUCAGAAGACAUGUUGAGAGCAUGUGUAAUUGAGUUUAAGGGUAAUUAGGAUGAUCACUUUCCUUUAAUUAAGUUUGCCUACAAUAAUAACUAUCACUGAAGAAUUGGUAUGGCUCAAUUUGAGGCCCUAUGUGGUACGAGAUGUAGAUCUCCAGUAGAUUGGUUUGAGAUGUGUGAAGUUGCCCUAAUAGGUACCGAAUUGGUACAUGUGGCUAUGGAGAAAGUUUGACUUAUUAGAGAAAGGUUGAAAAUGGCUCAAAGUCGACAAAAGUCAUAUGCCGAUGUUAGAAGAAGAGAUCUUGAGUUUGAUGUUAAUGAUUGGGUCUAUUUGAAAAUUUCACCCAUGAAGGGUGUAAUGAGCUUUUGCUAGAAAGGGAAGCUUAGUCCCUGAUAUGUGGGCUCAAAUUAGAUUUUGAGGCGAACUGGCAAGGUUGCUUAUGAACUUGAUUUGCCUAGUGACUUGGCGUCGAUGCAUUCGGUUUUCCAUGUCUCCUUGUUGAAGAAAUGUUUUGGAGAUCCGACAUCCAUAGUUCCCUUAGAUGGUUUUGGAAUUGAUGAGAAUCUUUCUUAUGAGGAAGUUCCGGUUGAGAUUUUAGAUCGGCAAGUUAAAAGGUUGAGAAAUAAAGAAGUUGCUUCCGUGAAAGUUCUUUGGAGGAAUCGGUUAGUUGAGGGUGCUACUUUGGAGGCUGAGGCCGAUAUGAUGUCCCGUUAUCCUCAUCUAUUUCCCUCCGUCCUUACUCAAGUUUGAGGUAUUUAGCUCCUCAUGGUUUACUCAUUAGGUGUCAUGUGUCUUAGAUUUUCCCGUGAUUUCCUCAUUAUGCAUGAUUCAUGAAAAACUUAGUUUUUGAGAAAAUGAGUUACUUGAUUUAUUUCUACAUGUUUAUGUGUGUUUCAGUAUGAGUUGGAUAUAGACUUCAUGAUAUGAUGUUUUGAACAUGCUUUAGCUUGGAGUUGAUGUUUCCUCCUCGGAUAUGUGCACCUAUGUGAUUGCAGGCAUGUUGGGCUUUUAGGUUUGAGUUCCUAUCUUCCUUAUGAUGUCUUAUAUCUCAUUCGAGGAUGAAUGACCCCAAGGGGGAGAUAAUGAAACACCUCGAAUUCGAGAAAGGUUAGAAAAGGAGUCAAGGGGGAAACUCAAAAGCCAAAACAAGACCAUGGGACCCUCCAUGGAGCCCCCACACGGGCCGUGAAGGAAACCAUGGUCCGUUUAAGGACUCUUGGUAAGCUCCCCCCAAACUAACUUCGCAUGGAUCUCUCCCACGGAGGCCUUGGCGGCUCGUGGAGAGGGAGAUGGCUCGUGGGAUCUUGGAAGUGGUUGGCAUGGACAUCAUCCCUCCCACGGAGGCCUUGACAGCCCAUAGUGAGGAUGACAGGCGUGGUGGUCGUCGUCAAAGUGCCCCACCAGCAAAGGCCUUUUCACAAGCCACUGGUCUAAGGACCACGACUGCCAAAAUGGCUCGUGAUCUCUUAGACGACUCGUUAAGGCCACCAUUUAGGGGUUGCAUCAGCUGUAAGUCAGGGGCUUUUAGGUCUUUUCCUAAUUAUUCUAUCCUAAUACUAUAUCGUUUUUCCCUUACCUAGAAGUUCUAUAUAAGUGUUUUUAACCCCUAAUUUCCCCAAUUGAAAUCAUUCUCUCAAAUUCCAAAAAGAAGAACAAGUCUUCCUCUCAAAAUAUUUCUCUCUCUAAAAAGCUUAAAGAAGAAGGGAUCAACCUAGAGUUUCAAGUCAAGUCUCCAAUUCCUCCAUUGAAGGCAAGCUUUUGGCAUUGAGGUAUGAUAGUUUUCAUCCAUGGAGCCCUUUCCCCAAUUUAGUUAGGGUUUUCUUCCAUGUCAUGGUUCCUUUAAAUAUUGAAUUAAUUAAUUGUUUUAUGAUCUAUCAAGCAUGAAUUUAUAUAAUUACAUGAUUUUAUGAUGAAUUCCAUGAACCCAUGUCUAACCCAUGUUUUCUAGAUACUUAUGAUUGAAUGUGGGUUUUGAACUAUGAAAGAUGAAUUAUGGAAUUAUGCAUGUUCUUAUGAAAUUGAUGUAAAUGUUUUAAGGAUUCUUUGAGAGUAAAGUAUCAAUGUUGUUGUUGUUGUUGUGUUGUUGAAAGUAUUUCUCACAUGCACAUGAAAGCAUGAUUAUGAAAGGAUAAUCUUAGAUAAGAAGGGUUCUUAAGGUUGAAAGGCUUUCUCACUUCAAAUGAACCAAUGUUAAGGAGCUAUUCUAAUGUUGAGGCAAGAGGAAAUCACCCAUGCUCUCUAUUUAAAGACAAGAGGCGAUUACCCGUGCCACAUGAUGCAAGGACAAGAGGCGAUUACUCAUGUUCCUUUAAAAGAUAAGAUGAAUAUAAUCAAGAACUAGUCCGUGGAAGUCAAGCUUAGAACCAAGUGGACAAGUGGCGAUUACCCGUGCCCCAUAGACUAUGUGCCAACAUAGGAUUGUCUAGAUAUACAUUAGCUAGUGGAUCCAAAUAAGCUAGAAGUUCAUGGUCCUUACCUUGGUAAGUAGGAGAACUAUUUUCCGUGUGGGAGACACCGGAUUCCAUGUUAAUAGCUCACAUGUUCUUAUUUUUUGGUAAAGGCUACUUUCCACAAGCAAGCUAUGAUGAACUAGGGUUACUUCAAGGAAGUAUCUCAUACAUGUUUAAUAUGUUGAAUAUGUGUGUUGACCAUGUUUUGUGACUCAUGUUUUCUAACUCUUUAUCUCAUGUUUUAGCUUGGUCACUGCAUCUCAUAAAGGUAUCUCUUUUAAGUAUUUUUUUUUCAAAGCUAUCAUACUUGGUACAUAUUUUGUACUAACGCAUACUCUUGCCUACAUUUUCCCCAAAUGUUGGGUCCGACCAUAAAGAUUUGCACUUCUGUGGCUAGGGAUCCUUUAUAGAAGAUUGAAGUGUUGGUGAGUCCUCAUAUUUUGAGGAUCGAUUUUGUUUCCCUUUUUGUCUUUACUUUCAGUUUUGAGAACUUGAUGUACGGGCUGCGCCCUGAUAAAAUCUUAUGUACUAGAUGGAUUUUGAGACAAUGUUUAGAUUUUUCCGCUUUUCUCUAUAAAACUCUUAUAUGUUGAAACUAUCUUUUAAUCUCUUGAUUUCUAUUAUCUUGUCUAAGUAUGGCUUGUAUGUGGCCUCUCAGGGUCCUAUAUGCCAUGUUACGCCUAGGGGCUACCUUGGGUCGUGACAAAAAUUCAAUGAGGGAGCAUAAUUUCCUAUAAAGCCCUCUGUGACUACUUUGUGAGGGUUUGAACCAUUUUGGCACCAUUUGAGCCUAACCUAUUUGUUGACACCCAAAAGAAGCCUUUUGAGAAAAAACUACCCCUACCUUCUCACCUAAAAUCCUUUUUAAAGAAUUAUGAUGUUUGAAUAGCCAACUUAGGCUAAAAAGCCUAAGUUGGAGGUGUGGAUAGGAAUGAUGAAUGAGAGCCAAGUGAAGGGAAAAGAAGAAUAAAUGAGGCUCAAAUCUGAAUGUUUUACAAAAAGAAGGAACCCCUCCUUAUAUAUAAAAGAAUGUGUGUAUUUGUCAUAAAUUUGAUGAGAAUAGCCUAGAAAAAUGAAAAUUAAAAAGUGAAGUUAUUGAAAUAAAAGGGAGUUCCAAAUAAAUUGAGUGGAAAGUCAAGAUUUGAGUCCUCAAAUGAGAAAGAAUGAAAAUAACUUGAGAAGAGGUGAUGAUGAUUGCCACAAUGCUUUGAAAAGGGUGUAAGUCACGAAUCUAAAUUGACCAUGCCUUAACCCUCAUCCACAUUACAAGCCUAAAAGACCCUUAAGGUCUUACAUGAACCAAUUUGUUUGAUGAUAGGAAAAUAUGGGCAAACCUAUGGAACAAAGCUUGCAUGUAUUUCUCUUUUGAGAGAGUGAGAGUUGCAUUGAUUGGUAUUACCUUUGUUGAUUUGCUUUGUGAGAGCAUGUAAUCUUUCUUGAUGUGAGGGCACUUGAAUGAAUUUGUUGAAACAUGUUCUUGCAAUAUACAAGAAGCUAAAGUGAGCUUGAGCUUGUGUUAAGAGUAGUUAGUAAUCAUUUGAAGCUUUUUUAUCAUGAUUUAGGGUAACAUGCUAUUGAGAGUACUCUUGUCAUGUCGCUUGCAUUUUAAUUCUCUUUGAGUAUUCUUUUAGACAACCUUAUUGAGGUUAUUGUAUUCUUGAUUUACUUGAGGACAAGCAAAAGUUUAAGUUGGGGGUGUUGAUUAGUGGUAGAUUUGCACUCAUUUAAGGUCCAUUUACCUCAAUAAUUGGUGUCCUCAAUGCCUAACUUUGUUCUUUUCUAAUCAAAUGUUGAUGAUUUGCAGCUAUGAAGGACAUUGGACAAGGCAUGGACUGAAGCUUGAUGGAUGGAAAAAAAGCAAAAGAAGUGCAAAACAAACAUUGUUGAGAGCCUAGCAUGAAAGGGUGGAUCGCCGACAGAGACGCCCAAUCUGACAAGACAUAACACUUUUGUCCACCAAAGAGGAUCGGCAAAUUCUAGUAGAAAAGGUGAUAUGCCAAAUGAAAAAGGCGAACCUGAAGCACAUCACUCAAUUUGACAAUGUUCAAGGCAAAGAUUUAAGGCUCGAACGGCGAACUAAGGUGGUAUUUUGUGAUUCACCAAUGUGAAAGGCUGACUCCAUCGAGUUUUCCAACUGAGGUUCAAACACCUGAAGCCUAGAGCAUCACGAAGGCGAGUUGGGGAAUGAAGGGCGAUUUGCCGAGUGAGUUAGGUGAGCGUGAUUAAUGUGGUCGAGGUUGUCGCGAAGUGGAUUUUUUAGCCAAUUUUUUGGAAAAUAUAAAUAGCCCAACGGUUAGAGUUUUAGGGGAGUUCGAGGAGAGAGUUGAACAGUUGAUUUCAGGAGAAAGUUUUGAGAGAGAACACUUCACUUUUUAGAAUAGUUUUUCUAGUCUUCUUGGGAUUUUACAAUAAUAACUAUUAUUUGGGAGAUUCUCUAAUUGACAACCAUCACUAUGAGCUAUGUGAUUAUACAACGUCUCGCCCACGUUGUCAGAAUUGUCCUAUACCUUGCUGAAGUAUAAGACAUCCUCCACUAAGUGGAUCCACUAAGCUAUGCUUAAAAGCAAUAAGGAAUUAUCUAAAAAGUAUGACCCUUUUUACCCAUGUUGGCAUACAUGGUUUAUGAGGACUUUGAGUUGUUUGAAAUCGUCUCCAUAUCGGUACUACUCCCAAUAAUAUAACUAAUGCUCAUAUGUUUAAAAACAUUUCCUUAUCCUCAAACUUUGGGGUUAUUACUCAAAAGGUUCUCUUAAAAGAGAGAGUGCUCAAAACUCCUUAUGAACUCAUUUGGAAAUCAAAGUUCCCUCUCAUUUUAAAUGUAAAAACAUUUACUCUUGGGAAUACUUAGUUCCCUUAUAUUCAUUUCAAAAACAUGAAACUCAACUCUCCUCAUCCUCAUACUCGUUUACUCAAGUCUUAAAUUAAAUUACAAUUAAUUGUAAUAGACUUCUUAAAAUGGGGUUCAUGCCGAAUUAUGGACGUGAACGACUCAAUUCAAGAGUUUCAAUAACCAUAUAUAAAACUCAAUACUAAGAACUCAAUAACUACAAAACUCAAGGACUCAUCUCAAGAAUGCUCGACUCGUAGGGUUCAUGUAGAAUUAUGGGCAUGAACCACUAAACUCUAGGACCUCCAUGAAUAACAUAUAGUAAUCCCAUAAUUAGGAAUAUAGUUUCAAAAGGAUCAGGAACUCAAUACUCAAAAACUCAGAACUCAAAGAUACUGCUCCUCUCAAUAAUACUCAAUUCAUAGAGGACAUGAAGGACUCGACUCAAGGGUCAAAAUGACAAUAUAGAACUCAUGGGUCCAACUCAUCUCAUUCUCAUGCUUACUUCCUCAAAACUUAACACAAACCUAUAGUUAAUUUCAAAGGAAUUCUCACCUUGACUCAAAGACUUUAUUAGAAGGGGACUCAAAGGUUUUCUCAAAAUGACUCGAAGAACUCCAUCGAACUUUGCUCUUAACUCUAUCUUGAAUUUUAAAUGUGAAUUCAAGAAUUAUGAUUUGGAUAUAUAGGACUUCUCAUUGAUUAGAUGUAGUUUGGAUAGUAAAAAUCAGUAAGAGAGAAGAUACGUUUUAAAAGAACUUAGACGGAAUGAAUGACAGAAAAUGAGCGGGGGCAGGCGACCCUAGCGCCAGCCUCACAUCAACUACAGCCCAUUUCUGGCGCACUGCAGGAGUGGCAUGCCAGCCCUCAUGGCGCAUCCGUGGCGUGGUGUGGCGUACCAGCCCUCCUGGCGCAUCUGUGGCGCGUCGCGCUACCCCUUCCCCAAAAUGUUCAAACAAAUUUUUCUUCUCAAUUUUUGGUCCUAAUUCACCUAGAAUUGACUGAUUUCUUCCAAACUCUCUUAGAUUCAUAUACCCAACAUAACUAAAUAAAAACCUACUCAAAUCUCCUCAAGAACAACCCUCAAACUCAAACCCUCGCCUCAAGAACUUAUCAAAUUCCAAUAAUAAAGAUUAAAGAAUGGAACUUCAAGAAAACUCAACAACAACUUCAAUACACAGAUUUCAUGGACGAAUUUGAUAAAGAAACUCAUGAUUGGCAUGAGGGUGACCUAACCCAUCACUAUGAAAACUUACAUACCUCAAAGAACUAGGUUCUUGGCGAAAUCUUGGAUGAACGCUUGAAACCUUGAACUUUUUCUCCUGUUGAAUCUUCUCUCUAAGCCCUAAAUGUUUUGGGGGUGAAUGAAAUUGAUUCUAAUCAGUAUAGACCCUUAAUUUGGUGUAAUUCACGCUUAGACUAAGUAGGGUAAGGAAAAAUACUAAAAUGCCCCUCAUUAGUUUGGAUGUAAAGGCCCUAUCUAGAGAGGUUGCACUCAGACGGUCAUAUCUCCCUGAUCCGAACUUAGAUUUUAGCAAACUCAACAACGUUAGAAAGAGGACUCCAAGAUCUUCAAUUUGAUACCUCAUGGGCCACUAAACUCAUUAAGUGUUAAAAGUUAUGGUCGUUUGAAGUUGACCCAAAACUUAAAAGAACUUACGGAUGACUUGAUGAAUUUCUCUUUAGUUCUUUUUGGAACUCGAUGUGCUACAUCUAGUGAACUUGACACCUAAGAAAAUCUAAAUUCCUCGGUAAAAUCUUACUCACAACGAAGAAUGGUUCGAAUCUUAGCCCAAAAAUUUUGGGGGUGUUACAAUAAUAUACCAACCUCACACAAUGAAUCUGUAUACAACUAAUUAACUUUUAAAAAGGUGGUUUGACACCACAAUGGAACACGAGAUCUUGACAAGAUAUACAAAAAUAAUCAAGAACCAAAACUGGUCGAAAUACAAUAAAAGCAUUAAAACUGAUCAAAACUAAUCGAAAAUAUCAAUUAAAGUAUUUGUCAGUUAAUUGAACAACAAUAUAGGCAUCAAAAUUGAUCGAAAAAUACAUUAUUCUUCAGCCUAUUAUAAUAAUGACUGAAUUGUUGGUAUAAUAUACGAACCUCACACAAUGAAGCUGUAAACAACUAAUUAACUUUGAAAAUAUGGUUUGACAACACAAUAAAACACAACAUCUUGACAAUAUAUACACAAACAAUUAUGAACCAAAACUGAUCGAAAUACAAUUAAUGCAUCAAAACUGAUCAAAAAUACCAAUUAAAGUGUUAAUCAGUUAAUUGAACACAAAAUAUGCACCAAAACUGAUUGAAAGUAUAAAUUAAAGUGAUAUCCAAAAGUAUAACAAAAACACUUUUUAAAGAACAAAAAUCCAAUAACAUAUUUUAUAAUAUUUUGUCUUAACGGAAGAUACUCCUUUUUAAUCCUUUCUCUUCUGAAUUAACUGACCGCCUUUCCCAGUUGCUUCACUUUCACUAACAGUACCAGUAUCAAUCUUCCUCUUUCCAUAAUUCUAAAGUAAUGCUUCAUAUCUCAAACAAAAUUUUGUAGCAUCAAAAAUUGACGUUGAAAUGUUCUUAAGAGGGAAAAAAAUGAUGAAAGUGAUGAACUGAUGAGAGAAAAAAAUAAUGGUGAAAAGGAAGAAUAUGAACGGAAGAGAGAAGAUAACAAUGGCUAAAAUUUCUCCCAAAUAAAAACUACAUAGGGAAUAAUGAAUUUUAGAAGGAAUAAAUUGUUGGAAACAUAAAAAGGUUUUACUUUGCAUUGAUUGAAUCAAAAAGGAAGAAAAUAAAAUAAUAGUGAAAAAGUAGUAACGUGUGAAUUGAAAACUGUAAUUGAAGAGAUAAAUAAGGCACAUAAUCCCAAAAGAGGAGAGACGAAAAUUGAAAUUAAAUAAUUAAAUUAAAUUCAAAAAUCAAUUAUUCUGCUAUGUUUGUAAUUUAUAAACUACGUUGGUAAUUAAAUAAAAGUAUGUACAUACAAUGUUAAUUAAAGUCUUAAGUAGUAUAUUAUUGUAAUUUCACCCCCAAAAAAUUCAAUAUGUUAUUGUUGCUAUUGCAAAGUAUAUGUAGAAUUUGGAGGUUGAUUAAAUUUAUUCGAAGAAUUAAAAUUUAAACAAGUUUUAAAAGUUUGAUACUGUGAGUUUUCUAUUUAUUUAUAUUUCGUCAUCUCUAUCAGUUUCUCAUUUAUUACUAUUAUAUAUUCUGGUUUGGAAAAGAUGUCUUAAUUUAAUAAAAUAUGUUUCGUGUAUCCUUUUUAAAUUGAAUGAAUAAUUUGAAAGUCGUAGAUCUGCCAUUUAAAUUUACUAUAAUUGAUUAAGAAAAAUUGUUGAAUGGGACACAAAAUUAUGUUGUGUUAUACCACUACAUAUAUGCUUUCCUCCAUAUAAUAUUUACUAUUUUAUCUUCAUUUUGUAAUAAUGAUUUUUAUAUACAAGAAUUAUUGUGAAAAUAAGUGAAUUUGAGAAUGGAGUACACAAUAGAAUUAUUUAUGCCAAAUAGUUAGAGUUGAUGAUCAUAUUAAUUAUUUAUGAUGUGAAAUUUUUUUUUAGAAAAUCGUAUUAGUACUUACGCAGUUAAGUGUUAAAUGAAUAGACAACUUGACCAUCAAUUUAAGUAUUUCCUCAACCUACAAAUUAAUUAUAACUAAAAGUGAGUUUUAACACUACAACUAGACAUAAGUGUCUGUGCUAGAUCUGCUAUUUCUUUUGUCUAAAUCUAUGUGAUAUAGAUAGAAUUUUGAAAGUCAAUUAAAUUUGAAUAUGAAUUUAGAUAUUUUAAGUUGUUAAUUAUUGUGAUUUAUAGUAAUUUUAUAUUAUAAUAUAUGUUACUCCUCUUGCCACAAUUUAUGUGACACUAAUAAAAAAUUUAAAAUCAAUUUAAUUUUUAAUGUAUUUUAGUUUUGAUUUUUAAUUGUGAUCUAUAUUACUUUUACGUCAUUUUUAAACAAUAUAUGCUACUCAUCUAUCCCUAUUUAUGCGGUGUUGAUUUGAGGGUCAAUCGAAUUUUUUUAUGUCUUUUAAAUAUUUUAAGUUGUUAAUAUUGUGAUUCAUAAUAUUUUUUACGUAGUUUUAAAAUAAUAUAUAUUACUCCCUUUGUCCAAAUGUAUAUAGCACAAAUAGAUUUUCAAGUCAAUCAAAUGUUGUGAAUUUUUUAGAUUUACUAUACUUUUUACGUAGUUUCCAAAUUGAAUAAUACAUGUUACUUCUUUUGUCCCAUUUUAUGUGACAUCAAUAGAUUGAUUUCAAGAAUCAAUCAAAUUUUUAUAUAUUUUUUUAAACAAAUAAAAAAAAAAUAAGAUAGAUAAAUUAAAAUAAAAGAAUCAUUGAAAAAUUACAGAAAUACCUAAAGGUGUUAAGCAAGCAUGUUGACCUGCUGCUUGUUUGAGCACUUAAACUCCCUCUUAUUAUAUACUAGUGGGUGGUGCGCCCGUGCUGGGCACGGACUAAUCUAAAAAUAUGUUAGUUUCAUUUUUACUCAUUCUCACCUCUAGUUUGAUGAAGUUUGUGAUCAAAUUAAGUUUAUGUUAUAACUUUUUGAAUGUUAUAAGAAAAAAUAUGCAGCUCAUAUAUAUCCAUGGAAGUAUUUAUAGUAUAGUAAGAAAUUUUAGUGGAGCCAUGCAUGGAAAAUAAAAACAUAAACCAUUGAAGUCUUAAAACAACAAAAAGUCCUAAGAAUAUACUAAUAAGUAAUAUCUACAUCUACUGAAUCACCAAAAGUCGACGUGAUAAGUAACUUUUCCUGUGUUGAUUUCUUAGAUACAAACAAAAGUUAUUUUAUACUCUCUUCGUUUCAUAUUAGCUGAUUAUCUUUUUAUACGUAUAUUAAGAAAUUAUAAAUAAGAAGAUAAUUUACCCCUUAAAAAUAUUCUUAGAAAUUUUAUAAACAAAUAUGAACACUUUAAAAAAAAGUAAUUGCAAGGGUAAUAUAAGAAAAUUUUAAUUAAUGUUUUCUUGAUUUAGUAAGGUGGACAACUAAUACAGAACAAUUAUUUUUAUCUAGAUAAUCAACUACUAUGAGACGGAUGGAACAUUAUUUUUAUCCAUUGAACCACCCAAAAAGAAUGACCGUAGGAAUUUUCGAGAACUGAUCUCUUUGGUAAAUUUAAUGUACAAAUAGUUCCUGCUUUCAUAACUUGGGAAAUUUGGAAGAGGAGGAAUGUGAUGAAGCAUGGUGGAAAUAUGUCAACAACCUCAAAUGAUUGUAGAGAUACAUAGAAACAUCUACUUAUUUACUAAGAGUAGAUAUCCAUGGUUAAAGAAUGUCCCUCAAAACUGGCCCUUAAUUGUCAAAUAUCUUGAAGGAUAUGCUCCAUUGACAAAAACUAUGGUGGUGAGAUGGAGUCAUCCCCCAUGAGAGUAUAUAAAUGCAAUAUUGAUGCUUUUUAUCAGCUCGAAUCAGGAGUUGGGUGUAUAGCCUUUUGUAUUAGAGAAUACGAUGAGAUUUGAAAUAUGCAGAAUCUAGAAGAAUUAAUACUACAUCUAUUUUGGAGGCAGAGGUCAUGGCAAUUAAGGAAGGGUUACAGUACUGCAGUCAAGGAAAUUUCCUUCCCUUGAUAAUUGAGACAGACUCACUGGUGGCUCAGAAAGUUAUACAUGGAGUAUGGGAGGUCCCAUGGCAGAUAACUUCGGAUAUCAGACACAUUCAGACAAUGAUAAGGAGUCAUGGGGUGGAGGUGGUUCAUGUCCUCAGAGAAGGGAACAGCCUCGUUGAUGGUUUAACUAAGUUGUUUGUUCAUUUUGCAGGUAUAGAGAGACAACAAUAUCAAAAUAUGCAGGAACUACCAUAACAUGCCAAAGCUAUUUUGCAACAAGACAAAGAAAAGACUCCUAAUUUGAGGAUCCGAAAAGUUCAAAACAAACAUUAUAAUGGUGCUUAAAAAAUAAAAAAAAGCACCACAUCAGUUCAAAGAAAAUCAGGAGAGGACUAAACUAAGAAGGUGAAAGAUUACCUUAGUCUCCUGGAAAAGGUUGAGCGAUGCAAGGUCGGAGAUUAGUCGACUUAAACAGUGGUAUUAAUUAUGGUGGGGUUCAACCUAUUGAGGAGAAUAAUCAAGGACUGAGUAUCAAAACAUAUCUCAAAAAUGAGUAAUAAAGCUUAUCUCAAUAGAUCUUGUCUUCAAAUCUGGAUGGCGAUUGAAGCGUGUCCCCAAAAUUCUUGCGCAUAUCUUGAGAUCUAGCUCAGAUCGAUAAAAUUCAGGUAGAAGAAGUCUUCAAAGGUAUUUGAAUCAUUACAUCAGUGAGAUUUGUUGGUGGAAGUGAUUGCAAUCCAUACCUGGAUCGAUAUCGAACAGAGCUCAUAUCAAGAGAAGGUGAGUAUUUAGAAGGUUUGGUCGUCACUUUGGGAGGAAUCUCCGGCGACUGUUAGUUUGUUUUCUUCUUCCUGUAGUUUACUUUGUU